rnacentral:rRNA from 1 species
GACGAACGCUGGAGGCGUGCUUAACACAUGCAAGUCGAACGAAGUCUUCGGACUUAGUGGCGGACGGGUGAGUAACACGUGGGAACGUGCCCUUCCGUUCAGAAUAGCCCCGGGAAACUGGGAUUAAUACUGAAUAUUAUCUACGGAUGAAAGAUUUAUCGCUGAAGGAUUGGCCCGCGCAAGAUUAGCUAGUUGGUGAGGUAAUGGCUCACCAAGGCAACGAUCUUUAGCUGGUCUGAGAGUAUGAUCAGCCAAACUGGAACUGAGACACGGCCGAGGCACCCACGAGUUGCAGCAGUGAGGAAUAUUGGAUAAUGGAGGCAACUCUGAGCCAGCCAUGCCGCGUGAAUGAUGAAGGCCCUAGAGUUGUAAAGUUCUUUAAGUUGGGAAAAUAAUGAUGGUACCAACAGAAUAAGCUCCGGCUAACUGCGUGCCAGCCGCCGCAGUAAAAC